rnacentral:rRNA from 2 species
GUGUUCCAGGUAAAUCCGGUUCACUUUAACACUGAGGCGUGACGACGAGGCACUACGGUGCUGAAGCAACAAAUGCCCUGCUUCCAGGAAAAGCCUCUAAGCAUCAGGUAACAUCAAAUCGUACCCCAAACCGACACAGGUGGUCAGGUAGAGAAUACCAAGGCGCUUGAGAGAACUCGGGUGAAGGAACUAGGCAAAAUGGUGCCGUAACUUCGGGAGAAGGCACGCUGACACGUAGGUGAAGUGAUUUACUCAUGGAGCUGAAGUCAGUCGAAGAUACCAGCUGGCUGCAACUGUUUAUUAAAAACACAGCACUGUGCAAACACGAAAGUGGACGUAUACGGUGUGACGCCUGCCCGGUGCCGGAAGGUUAAUUGAUGGGGUCAGCGCAAGCGAAGCUCCUGAUCGAAGCCCCGGUAAACGGCGGCCGUAACUAUAACGGUCCUAAGGUAGCGAAAUUCCUUGUCGGGUAAGUUCCGACCUGCACGAAUGGCGUAAUGAUGGCCAGGCUGUCUCCACCCGAGACUCAGUGAAAUUGAACUCGCUGUGAAGAUGCAGUGUACCCGCGGCAAGACGGAAAGACCCCGUGAACCUUUACUAUAGCUUGACACUGAACAUUGAGCCUUGAUGUGUAGGAUAGGUGGGAGGCUUUGAAGUGUGGACGCCAGUCUGCAUGGAGCCGACCUUGAAAUACCACCCUUUAAUGUUUGAUGUUCUAACGUGGACCCGUUACCCGGGUUGCGGACAGUGUCUGGUGGGUAGUUUGACUGGGGCGGUCUCCUCCUAAAGAGUAACGGAGGAGCACGAAGGUUGGCUAAUCCUGGUCGGACAUCAGGAGGUUAGUGCAAUGGCAUAAGCCAGCUUGACUGCGAGCGUGACGGCGCGAGCAGGUGCGAAAGCAGGUCAUAGUGAUCCGGUGGUUCUGAAUGGAAGGGCCAUCGCUCAACGGAUAAAAGGUACUCCGGGGAUAACAGGCUGAUACCGCCCAAGAGUUCAUAUCGACGGCGGUGUUUGGCACCUCGAUGUCGGCUCAUCACAUCCUGGGGCUGAAGUAGGUCCCAAGGGUAUGGCUGUUCGCCAUUUAAAGUGGUACGCGAGCUGGGUUUAGAACGUCGUGAGACAGUUCGGUCCCUAUCUGCCGUGGGCGCUGGAGAACUGAGGGGGGCUGCUCCUAGUACGAGAGGACCGGAGUGGACGCAUCACUGGUGUUCGGGUUGUCAUGCCAAUGGCACUGCCCGGUAGCUAAAUGCGGAAGAGAUAAGUGCUGAAAGCAUCUAAGCACGAAACUUGCCCCGAG